rnacentral:snRNA from 1 species
AUACUUAGCUGACAGAGGAGAUUCCAUGACCAGAAAAGCACUUUUCCCAGAACGGGGCUGAUCCAUUGCAUUCGGGAUGUGAUUUCCCCAAAUGUGGGAAAUUCAACUGCGUAAUUUGUGGUAGUGGGGUACUGUGUUUGCACUCGCCUGGA